rnacentral:rRNA from 1 species
AUGCCCUGGCUCAUAAUAGGUGACCUGAAUGAGAUAUUGUAUCCUUUUGAGAAAGGAGGGAGCCAAAGACCCCAACAUUACAUGCAAGCAUUCAGGAAAGCUUUGGAUGACUGUAAUUUAUCAGACUUUGGUUAUGUAGGAGAAAAAUUCACGUGGCACAGGGGAAAAAUUAGGGAACGACUAGAUCGUGCUUUAUCAAAUGAGUCUUGGAACCAGAAGUUUGUGGAUGCAACACUGAGAAACCUGGAAUAUAGCCGGUCAGAUCAUUGGCCUAUCCUAAUGAACACCCAUGCAAUGUCUAACCAUGACAAGCCUGGGCCGUCUGUCUUGCAUUUCGAGGCGAAGUGGCUAAAGGAGGCCCGGUUCCGACAUGUGGUGUAA